AUGGUGUACCUGAGCGCCUCUCUGAAGAAAUACCAGACGGAGCAAAGGAGCAAAGACGACGCCCUGGACAAGUGUCAGGCUGAGCUGAAGAAACUCCGCAAGAAGAGCCAGGGGAGCAAGGACCCGCAGAAGUACUCGGACAAGGAGCUGCCGUACAUCGACGCCAUGGGCAACAAGCAGGGCGAGCUGGAGGGCUACGUGCCCAACGGCUACCAGACGGCUCUCACCGAGGACCGCUGGCGGUUCUGCUUCCUCGUGGAGAAGCAGCACGCCGUGGCCAAGAACUCCGCCGCCCACCUCGCCAAGGGCAAGGAGCUGCUGGCCCAGAAGCUGCCGCUGCGGCAACGGGCCCGCGCCGACCCCACCAAGAUCCCCGACCAGCGGAUGCAGCAAGGGGCUAGCGGCAAUGGCGCCAUCCUCCCCAGCACCCUGUCGGCCUCCAAGUCCAACCUGGUCAUCUCAGACCCCAUUCCGGGCGCCAAGCCCCUGCCGGUGCCCCCCGAGCUGGCACCGUUUGUCGGGUCCCAGAGCAAGCUGAGCGACUCGUACUCCAACACGCUGCCCGUGCGCAAGAGCGUUACCCCCCAAAACAGCUAUGCAGCCACUGAGAACAAGACUCUGCCCCGCUCCAGCUCCAGGGCCGCCGGCCUGCAGCGCAACGGGCGCAUGCGGGUGAAGGCCAUCUUCUCCCACGCAGCGAGGGACAACAGCACCCUGCUGAGCUUCAAGGAAGGGGACCUCAUUGCUCUGCUGCUGCUCGAGGCCCAGGACGGCUGGCACUACGGCGAGAGCGAGAAGACCAAGAUGCUGCAGCAGAUGGCUGGCACCUUUAAGCAGCGGCCCUACAGCGUGGCCGUGCCCGCCUUCUCCCAGUGUCUGGACCACUAUGGUGCCAGGUCCGUGAGCAGGAAUCCCUUCACCCAUGUACAGCUGAAGCCCACGGUGACCAACGACAGCAAAAAAAAAAAAAAAAAAGAAAGAAAGCCUAAAGGUGUCGAAGGGAAUGUUCAGCUGGAAACCGGAGAUAAAAUAAACUUUAUAAUUGAUAACAAUGAACAUACUGGUGCUGUAAGUGCUCGUAACAUUGUGCUGUUGAAAAAGAAACAAGCCCGCUGUCAGGGAGUAGUUUGUUCCAUGAAGGGGGCAUUUGGCUUUAUCGAAAGAGGUGAUGUUGUAAAAGAGAUAUUCUUUCACUAUAGUGAAUUUAAGGGUGACCUAGAAACCUUACAGCCUGGAGAUGACGUGGAAUUCACAAUCAAGGACAGAAAUGGUAAAGAAAUUGCAACACAUGUCAGACUAUUGCCUCAAGGAACCGUCAUUUUUGAAGAUAUCAGCAUUGAACAUUUUGAAGGAAUUGUAACCAAAGUUAUUCCAAAAGUAGCCAGUAAAAACCAGAAUGACCCAUUGCCAGGAUGCAUCAAAGUUGCCUCUGUGAUUCCUAAAGAACUUCCCUUUGGAGACAAAGAUGCAAAAUCCAAGAUGACUGUUCUGGAAGGUGACCAUGUUAGGUUUAAUAUUUCAACAGAACGACGUGACAAAUCAGAAUGAGCAACCAAUAUGGAAGUUCUAUCAAAUACAUUUCAGUUCACUAAUAAAGCCAGAGAAAUGGAUGUGAUUGCUGCCCCGAGAGAUGGUUUUGGUUUCACCAAGUGUGUGGAUCGUGAUGCUCAUGUGUUCUUCUACUUCACUGAAAUUCUGGAUGGGAACCAGCUCCAUAUUGCAGAUGAAGUAGAGUUUACUGUGGUUCUUGAUAUGCUCUCUGCCCAAAGAAAUCAUGCUAUUAGGAUUAAAAAACUUCCCAAAGGCAUGGUUUCCUUCCAUUCCCAUUUGGAUCAUCGUUUUCUGGACACUGUAGAAAAAGAAGCCACUUUUUCCAAUCCUAAAAGCACUAGCACAAAUAAAGGCAAAGAGAAGGAGGCGGAGGAUGGCAUUAUUGCUUAUGAUGAUUGUGAGGUGAAACUGGCUAUUGCUUUUCGAGCCAAGGAUGUGGAAGGAUCUACUUCUCCUCAAAUAGGAGAUAAGGUUAAAUUUAGUAUUAGUGACAGAGGCCUGGACAGCAGAUUGCAACUUGUGUAUGACUUUUAGAUCAUAAUUCCAACUCCAAGAGGCUCUUGGGUUAUGUGGCAACUGUGACGGAUAAUUUUGGAUUUAUUGAAACAGCCAAUCAUAAUAAGGAAAUUUUGAAUUGUAUUGACUUUAUUUUACUGUAUGACCCCCGCUGUAAACAGUGGAUCAAGGUGGCCUCCAUGAACCAGUGCCGUGUGGAUUUCUACCUCGUCUCCAUUGAAGACACGCUGGUGGCCGUCGGAGGCCGGAAUGAGAAUGGAGCUCUCUCGUCGGUAGAAACGUACAGUCCCAAGACCGACUCCUGGUCCCAUGUGGCCGGCCUGCCAACGUUCACGUACGGCCACGCGGGCACCAUCUACAAAGACUUCGUGUACAUCUCGGGGGGCCACGACUACCAGAUCGGCCCUUACCGCAAGAACCUGCUGUGCUAGGACCACCGGAUGGACAUGUGAGAGGAGCAGCGGCCCAUGACCACGGCCCACGGAUGGCACAGCAUGUGCGGCCUGGGCGACAGCAUCUACUCCAUCGGGGGCAGCGAUGACAACAUCGAGUCUAUGGAGCGCUUUGUCGUGCUGGGCCUGGAGGCCUACAGCCCGCAGGCAACCAGUGGACCCCCGUGGCGCCGCUGCUGCACGCCAACAGCGAGUCGGGCGUGGCCGUGUGGAAGGGCCGCAUCUGCAUCCCGGCGGGUACAGCUGGGAGAACACCGCCUUCCCCAAGACCCUGCCGGUGUACGACCGCGAGGCCAACAAGUGGAGCAAAGGCAUCGACCUGCCCAAGGCCAUUGCCGGCCUGUCGGCCUGCGUCUGUGCCCUGAGGCCGCGGCUGGAGGACAAGAAGAAGGGCAAGGGCAAGAGACACCAGGACUGGGGCUAG